AGAAGGCCUCUGGGCUGUAAACCUCUUUUCUCAAGGAAGAAGAUAUGACGGUACUUGAGGAAUAAGCCUCGGCUAAUUCCGUGCCAGCAGCCGCGGUAAUACGGGAGUGGCAAGCGUUAUCCGGAAUUAUUGGGCGUAAAGCGUCCGCAGGCGGCUUUUCAAGUCUGCUGUUAAAGCGUGGAGCUUAACUCCAUCAUGGCAGUGGAGACUGAGAGGCUUGAGUAUGGUAGGGGCAGAGGGAAUUCCCCCCNGUAGCGGUGAAAUGCGUAGAUAUUGGGAAGAACACCAGUGCCGAAGGCGCUA
rnacentral:rRNA from 1 species